rnacentral:lncRNA from 1 species
UGAUAUAUUUCUUACGCUCGUUACUGUUAACACAUGCGGUAGUCCAUUGCGCAAAACUCGGUCAGGCUUCGAAAUAUGCGCGGAUCAUCAUACAUGGGAAACUAAAGUUAGGUGGUGUGACUUGGUUCUCAUCGUUUAGGUCUCUUAUAUACCUGGUGACAUCGCGUUCUUAUAUGUGGCCCCUUUCCUAUUCCUAUUUUUGUUUCGGAGUCUUGUUGGUUAAGUAAUUUCAGCCAUUUGUUAUUGUUUAGACUAAAGGAGCCGGUUUUCGAUACUUCUAGACAACAUUUAAGGUACCAAGCUUUUUUCUGAGUGUUGUAGUGCUGGAGAAAGUAAUAAGAACAAAGAACUCCCGUUUUUUCUAGUCCCUUGAUUCUGUGUACUAGACCCAAAGUGGUCGGACCCUUUCCCAGACCCUGCGCAAGCGGGAGCUACAUGCACUGGGGCUGCCCUUGAUUCUGUGUGUGGUGUUCUGUUUGAAGUUUUAUGCCUGAUCUAUUAUUUCCUAUGAGAAUCUUUUGGUUAUAGAGCAUGUUGAAUGCAGAAUGCUCUACACCGGACUACUGCCGGUCUACUGCUUACUAGCGCAUGCAGGCAGGAAGACCCUCCCAGAAUUUUGUUUUGAGCACAAAAGCAAAUCCUAGAAUUGCUAAAAUUUGAUUACAAAUGACCUAAGGGCUUGCCAGGCUUGACGGCUCGGGUCGAUGGGGGUGGGCUGCCGGCACCGGAGAAGUAAGGUGGUAGUCGGGGUUUUGGCCCCUUCUUUGUUUUGCGAAAUGCAGCGUUGAGCUUUCUUCAAGAUCCCACUCCUACUUUCUCAGAGGGAGGAGAUUGCACUUGUACCGAUUUCGGUUGCCCGCCAUCACCCUAUUCUGCUCAUCCAGCUCACUAGCACCUCGAUUUCCAAAUUCCUAUGUUCUCUACUCUCUCUUGAACUAAAACCGAGACAAUUAUUUUGGGACAGGGGGACAAUUUAAAAUAAGGGCAAUUAUUUGGGGACAGGGGGACUGACUCACUGACAGUACCAAGAACCACUGGCUGCCGAACCGAGCCAGGGUUUUUUUUUUUUGAGAACGAACCGAGCCAGGGUUGAUGAGGAAGAGAGUUGCUAAUUGUGGUUGCGGCAUGGUCCUGAUUCCUGAAACAUGACACCACCAUGAUGAUGAUGUAUAAGAGCAUGGUUAAUAGUAUAGCCAACUGUUGUUGGCUAUAUGAUGUUGCCAUGCCAUAUAUAGUCAUCAUUUAUAGUCACUCAUCUACCAUGUUAAAGUUAUACAAUAUGAAAAUUUAAGUCAUGACAUAUCUAUUAAUAUUGAUUUCAUAUUGUGAAUGUUAGCAUUUUAUUUAUAAAGUUGGUCAAACUUUACAAGGUUUGACUUUAGACAAAUUUUAUAUGCAAACUAAAAAGGACCUGAGGGAGUACUAAUAUACAGACUAAAUAAAAACGGAAGGAAUACAAAGUUAGUUGAGUAGGAGGGAGUGGUAUGAUUUCCUUCUUGAUUUGCGUUCACUACCAUGUGUACAUUUUGGCCACUUGAUAAACGUCUGUCUUUUCUAAAGAAAAGAAAGAUAAAUGUCUGUUCGACCCGUUGUUUGGGAUUCUCUUCAGUGUCAAGCUCGUUGGACCCGUUGGUCUUGGGGCUUUUCGGCAUCAUCAGGUCACUACAAAACAGGCUUCUGUGUUCAUUCAGACAUUAAAAGCCUACUGCAUGCUACCCGCGGUUGAUUGUCACAUACUACAAGUUUGCACCGUUGCAUUCAGUCCGUCGUUGUUACUGUACUGCUUGCGGUUCAAGAACAGCAGUGCCCCACAUGCAUAUGUUCAUGCAUGAUUGUACUGCCUGCACAUGGACCUUACUGGUACGUACGUACUGUAUUUCGUUGUACUAUCUGCAUCGCAGCUCAGCGUGCGGGUUGCGUGUCUGAACUGUGUGACUGGGACAACGAUCUGUGCACAGGAAUCAGGUGAUCGAAUGGCAACCCUGCUGCAGCUCAAAGGGCGGUUGCGGUUGCGUACAUCAACCCCACAAGCCACCGCAAAUAUCAACGUGGCCGGCCCGGUUUUGCCAUUUAUGUCUGGACACACAAAGAGCAAAAUCACUAUGAUCUGCCAAUCUAGGGAAAAUGUUGGGACCCCCUAUGAGAUCCCUCUCCUCUCCUCCCGGUCCCGGCCCUGGCCGAUCGAGCUUGCCGCCAGCCUUGUGCCAGCAGGUAGUCCUAGGACCGGACCUUUCAAAUCCAUCUUAUACGCCCACGCGGGUCGCCUGGUCACGAUUUCUUGACCUAGACAGACCCUUCAAAUGGCCCUCAAAUGCCCGGGCUGACCGGCAUCCUCAUAUCCAGCCCAAAUAUGGGGUAGAUAUGAAGGCGUCCGGGCGUGCCUGAACACGACCGCCACGUCGGACCCGACAACCCGACCCUAUCUCAAAUUGCACCAAAUCCCCCUCCCCUUCCUUCGAGCCGCCGAAUUCAUUUGCUCUCUCCUCUCUUCUUCCUCCUCUGUGUCGUCCUGCUCGCAGCUCCGUUGUCGCGCCCUUCGCAGCUGUUCCCAGGCUCUCCGCCACCAGCUCCAGAAGAGCGCUCCCGUCUUCGCCGGCCCGGACGCCACCAUGGUACGUUCGGCAACUCUCCGGCUCCGCCUUGCGCUUGAUGUGUUCGACACAUUGACUGACCGAAAUUAUUGUGAUUUUGUUAGGUAAAUGAUGGACUCCGAUGCUUCGUCGGACGAGGCGUAUGGACCGACGGAGCUUGACCAAAUGAUUCAAGAUGAGUUCUUCGAUUGUCGGAUUCGGACGAAGAAAUGGACAUGAUCAUGCUCAUGGGCAUGUAAGAGGAAAUGGAUCGGCAAGUGGAGCAUAUUCUCAACUUUAAGGGCUCAAUCAAAGGGAGAAGAGUGAUCAACCGGGACAGGGUGUCUGGAGCAAAGCUACUGCACAAUGACUACUUUGCUCCCACACCUGCUUUCCCCUAUGAUCCAUGGUUUCGUUGCCGUUUUCGCAUGUGGAAACCAUUGUUUUUGCGCAUUGUGGAGGGACUGGAGGCACACGGCGACUACUUCAAGCUGAGAAGGGAUUGUUGCGGCCAACUUUCUUUCUUGGCCAAGCAGAAGUGCACGGCUGCUCUAAGGAUGCUUGCACUUGGUACUGCUGCAGCGCCGUUGGUGAGAUGGUCAGGAUGGGGGAGAGCACGUACCUCAAGACUAUUGCCAAAUUUGUUUGCGCCAUGGUUGAGGUGUUUGGCCCGGAGUAUCCCAGAGAACCAAAUACGCAUGACACAGAGAAGUUGUUGGCUAUUGGAGAGGCAAGGGGUUUCCAGGAAUGCCCGGAUCAAUUGAUUGCAUGCAUUGGCAAUGGAAAAACUGCCCCAAAUGUCUACGGGGAAUGUAUCAAGAUCACACCAGAGAGGCCACCAUCAUACUAGAAGCGGUGGCAUUACAUGACUUAUGGAUUUGGCAUGCUUUCUUUGAAAUGUCCGAUUCUCACAACGACAUCAAUAUGCUUCAACGAUAUUCGGUGUUCAGGAGGCUUUGCAAUGGGGAAUGACCGUCGUGCAACUACAUCGUCAACGGUCGGGACUACAACAUGGGGUACUAUCUUGUUGAUGGUAUCUAUCCUCAGUGGGCGGCGUUUUGAAGACCAUAUCGGAGCCACUUUGCAACAAUGCGGAUCUGGAGCGGCGGCUCCCCUGGCGAGGCACGGCAGGCUCCUGCGAGCAGCCGUGCGGACGAUGGAUCCGGCGUCCUGGCCGCGUGGGGCGGCGUUUGUGAAGACCAUAUCGGAGCCGCGUGGCAAUAAACAGAGCCACUUUGCAACAAUCUGGAUCUGGAACGGCGGCUCCUCUGGCGAGGCACGACAGGCUCGAGCGAGCAGCCGUGCGGGCGGUGGAUCCGGCGUCCUGGCCAUGUGGGCGGCGGGAUCCCAGUGGUCGUUGGCGGCUGGCGGCGGUCGGUGUGCGCGACCUGGCGCCUCCCCUCCUCCCCUGUUCGGCGUGCGGGCCAGCCUGGUAGGGCCGCGCCUCCCUUGGUCGCCGGUUCAGUACAGGAGGCACUGCUGGUGGCGGGGAUUUAGUUCGGGAGAAAUCCCUGGCCGACCAUGACAGGUCGCGCCGACGGCUACGCCUGAGGGCGUCGUUCUCCUGCUUGGAGGCGUCAGUAUGGAUUAAUCUCCUCACUUCCCCUUCCCCUAGGUCUCCCGGGCGAAAGCCCUAACUUUGUUGGGCGGCGGCGGCGCUCAUGGUGCCGUUCCCUUCUUGAAGGCGCUGCUUUGGGAACCUUGGGGUUGGGUGGCGCUUGCGGGUGGUGGGCGACGGCGGUGGCGCGGUCCUAUCCUAGCAUGGAUCUACGUCCGUUGCUUGGAGAUGGAUUCGCGUUCGUGGAGGUCGACGUUUGGCGUCGUGGUGGCGUCGAGGUGGAGGACCUGCCAAGGCUCUCGUAGGUGGAGGUCGUCGUUUGGCGUCGUGGUGGUGUCGAUGGCGGAGGACCUGUCAAGGUUGACACCUCAAUCUACUCUGAAGACGGACCAGUGGAAGAAGGCGACGACGACACAUGUGAGUGCGUCGGACCGGUUUGUGCCCUGGACCUGGCAGAUGGCUCGAUCGGGGCCUCCGAGUUUAGAUGUUAGGCUUAGGUGAGAGGUCUGGGUAUGUGGCCCAGCUUGCACCCUUUCAUCAUAUGGAUAGGAGUAGCGGCAGAUUGCCAAGAUGGUGGAUUCAGACAUAUUUUUGUUCUACUUUGUAAGAUUCUUAAGAAUAAUCAAUAAAAUGGCCGCAUGCAUCCCCCAGAUGUAGAGGCCGGGGACCAUCCUCCUUUUCUAAAAAAACUUUGCAACAAUGCAGGAAGCGGCUAGGAAGGACGUGGAGAGGGCAUUUGGUGUGCUUCAAACUCGUUGGGGAAUUAUGCGGAGCGCUGCAAUGAUGUGGGAAUCGGAAACUUUGUGGUAGCUGAUGACAUGUUGUGUUAUUCUGCACAAUAUGAUUGUCGAGGAUGAGGGUGAUGGUGUAGAAACCCAUGAUUUUGAAGCACGCGGAUGACAAGUUGAAAUCCCGGAAGAUCAAGAUGCGGCUCAACUUAUGAACUUUCUACGGAUGCACCAGAAUCUUCGAAAUCAGCAGGUGCACGCGCAGCUACUCAAUGAUCUCGUGGAGUACAUGUGAAUCUACAAUGGCAACCAAAGAGGCAAUGCUUGAGUUUGACACUUCAAAUAAAUUUUAUGUAAACGCUAUAUAUGCUUGAUACCAAUAAUUGCUAUUUACAUGCGAUAUUGGGUGGCAUGGUCGACAUGCAUGUAUUUGCUUGAAUUUGAUAGUUCGGAUUGGAGAUAUGUGGAUGCACAGAAGAAAAUAUGAGGGCCCGUUCGGAUGCGCCCGCAUGCGUAUCCGGACGCGUCCGCGGAAGUUUGAGGGGCCAAAUUUAUCAAGUCCGGUUGUAGAUGCUCUAAGUUUGUUGGCUUGUGCUUGCAUGAUUUUGUAUCUUAAUAAUGUACUGCAAACGGUGAUCACGAUGAUACGCGUACCUCCCGUGUGUCGUCGAAAAUAUAAGCACGCGGGCUUAUGUUUCGAGUGUUGUAGUGCUGGAGAAAGUAACAAGAACAAAGAACUCCCGUUUUCUUUUUUCUUUCUAGUCCCUUGAUUCUGUGAGUGGCUUGUUGUUUGAAAUUUUGUGAUUGGGAUGUGUUCCCUGAUCUUGUAUUUCAUAUGAGAAUCUUUUGGUUAAGGAGCAUGUUGAAUGCAGGCAGAGUGCUCUACACUGGACUACUGCCUGUCCGCUUUUUUUUGGCCCUUUUUUGCGAAAUGCAGCGUUGGGCUCGUAGUACAGAUCCGUUGUUGUACGUGGGCAGAGCAGAGGAGGCAUGCAUGGAGCACAUGGGGCGAUAUAUUUUCUGACUUGAGUGAGAGGGCUACGGAGGGAGAGCAGCAGAGUCACGGUCCGAGCUUUGAAUGAAGGAGGAGAUACGGCACGAUGAUAUUUGAUCCACGUGACGUGAAGUCCUCAUUAGCACAGGACAAGUUCGUGCACAGCCUGGCCCCUUUAUAAACGUUUGCGUCUGCUCCCCAUGUCUGCUGCUUCAGGCUCAGUUCGACUGGGAUUCUACAGUAUCAAGUAAUUUGAACUGAAACCACGACACUUUAUUUUGGAUCGGAGGGAGUAGUAUCAAGCUGAUUUCUAUUUGUUUGGGCUUCAUUCUCUCCAGCGUGAAGCUUGUUCGAUCCGUUUCGUUUGGGAUGUUUCAGCAGCAGGUACGAACACAUGCGUCCAUGUUCAUUCAUACUACUAGUAUGUGCUUACAAGUUUGAACCACUGCAUUCAGUCGAAUCGCUAUUAGCUGCCUGCACUUGCACGUGUCAACUGUCAAGGGCAGUGCCAUCGAUGUUAGCUGCACUUGCACGUGUGUCUGUGUCAUUACACUGCUUGCACAAGAAUUCACGUUUCCAAAGAGACGUCUACCAGUACUCCCUCCGUCCGAAAAUACUUGUCAUCAUAAUGGAUAAAAGGGGAUGUAUCUAGAUGUAUUUUAGUUCUAGAUACAUAUUUUUUUAUCCAUUUUGAUGACAAGUAUUUUGGGACGGAGGGAGUAGAAGAUAGCUCAGGUGCAUGUACCUGCAUGAUCGUACUACUUGCAUGAAAUGAACCCUACUACCAUUUCCUUGUAGCAUCUGCAUUACAGCACAGCAUGUCGUGGUUGCGUGCAUGAACUGGGUGAUUUGGACAACUGUGCUGUUGCUCGACGUGUAUGCCACCGCCAAUAUCGACGUGCCUUGUUUCGCCAUUUAUGUCUCUAAACACAGAGAGGGAAAUCACUGUAGAGUUCUUAGAACUGCCACUCUAGGAAAAUGUUGGGACCCCAUGACCAGGAGGCUCCUCACCGUUUCGUCCUGGCCGAUCGGGCUUGCGGCCAGCCUUGUGCCAGCACCAGUCCUUUUCUAAGUUUGUUUCUCUGUGCUUGUAUGAUUGUAUCUACUAUCUUAAUGUAAAUGGUCAUCAUGAAUUUAUGCUGAUACGCAUAUCUCCUGCGUGUUGUCGGGGAUGGACCCAGAACACAGGGUAUCUCUGAACGUUUUCGAUCGCAAGUUUAGUUACGUGAGGAUGAUAAUUUUAGUUGGCAAGUAUGACAACUUUCGUGUUUUAGUUUGUUUUCGGCAGAAACUUAUUAUAUCACUGGAAUUUGUCAUCCUUGUGUGACUAGGAUCGCCAUCGAAAAACGUUAGGGUUGGAAUGCCGCGCAUCUGACGUGUGCCACUUAUCAUUUGGGUAUAUAUAAGCACGCGGGUAGCGUUCAGGCUUGUUAUUCAUCUUGUGCACAGAUCACGCUCUUUGCUCCUGGAAGAGAAGAAAGCACGAUAUACGUGAGAGCGCAGCCCGAAGUAUGCAUUUCGCUCUUGCUUCUUUCUUCUAGUGUUUGCAUGACUUCGUUCUCCUAUCACUCGCCGGCUGUGUGUGACGGUUUAUCAUCUUGUUCGAGUCUUCCAGGGCAGUAGUGGAGCACCGCAGCGUGCGAGCCAACGCAGGCAUGGCGACGGCGGAGGCAGACGUCGGCGCCCCCGCGAGCGUGACCGCGCCGAUGAUGCUGCACGGGCGCGUGGCGAUCGUCACGGGCGGCGCCGGCGGGAUCGGCUCGGCCGUGUCGCGGCACCUGGCGUCCCUCGGCGCGCGCGUGGCCGUCGCCUACGUCGGGGACCCGGCGCCGGCGCGGGACCUCGUGGCCGGCAUCAACGCCGCCGCGCACGGAGCCGACCAUGAUCCGCGCGCCGUGGCGGUGGAGGCGGACGUGUCGGACACGGCGCAGGUGCGGGCGCUGUUCGACGCGGCGGCGGCGGCGUUCGGCGGGGAGCUGCACGUGCUGGUGACGGCGGCGGCGGUGAUGGACACCUCCUACCCGCUGCUGGCGGACACGAGCGAGGCGACCUACGACGCGGCCUUCGGCACCAACGCGCGGGGCACCUUCCUGUGCCUCCGCGAGGCGGCGCGCCGGCUGGCCCGCGACGGCCGCGGCCGGAUCGUCACCUUCUCGUCGUCCGGGGUCGGGUCGCUGCGGCCGGGCUACGCGGCGUACGCGGCCAGCAAGGCGGCCGUGGAGACCAUGACGAGGAUCCUGGCGCGGGAGCUGCGGGGCACCGGGAUCACCGCCAACGCCGUGGCCCCCGGGUCCACGGCCACGCCCAUGUUCUACGGCGGCAAGACGGACGAGGAGGCGGAGCGGUACAUCGCGGAGGCGCCGCUGGGGAGGCUGGGGAUGCCCGAAGACAUCGCCCCGCUCGUGGGCUUCCUCGCCAGCGACGCCGGCGGGUGGGUCAACGCCCAGGUCCUGCGCUGCAACGGCGGCACCAUCUGACAUGAUCAGUGUUCGAGUGUUUCGUUGGCUUCGCAGCAGUGCUCUUUUUUCUCUCGCUGUUGGAACUGUGUAUGUGUGUGUUUUUGUGCGUUAUCCGUGUUGUUGCGGUGGACUUUCUUGUGGAAUUAUGGUUGCUAUCACGACACAGAGCAUCUCCGGCCGCGUCCCUAACGAAGUCCUUCAGACGAUUUUUCAGCCGUUGGUGUCAAAAAAUCGACCCAGUCACGUCCCAAGGACUCAUUUUUCGCCUGCUCGGACCGAAAUUAGCACCGGCGGAUCCAACCCGAACCCGGCGCGCUGGGGGGCACUCGGGGGCGCCGGGCGAAUCGUUUUUUGCGCGAAAGAGCCGCGGGCCCUCCUUGCCAGCGACUCGUCUCUCUUCCCGCCGCUUCGUUGUCCUUGUCGCCUCGUUUCCCGCGGCGAAUCAAUGCCAAAGCUGCCGCGCGCUGCCGCGCCGGUCAGCCUCCUCCAUUGAUGCCGCACGGGCGGCGCGGUGACCGGACGACGCGCGUCCCCUCGCCCGCCACGCGUACGAGCGGCGUCUCCGCCUACAUAAGCCGAACCCCAGCGUGUCGGUGACACGCACAGAAUCUCCACCACCGCAGCGUCAUUUCUCCCCCUUUCCUCCCUCUCCUCUCGUCGUCUCCAGUUCAAAGCAUGGCCGAGCGCUUCCCAGGCGACGGUGCGGCGGCGAACGGCUUCGGCCGCCGCCACCUUCACGAGGACGAAACUCGGCUCCUCUUCGAGGCCGAGUACCCGGUCCCGCCGGACAUGCGGGUACCGGGGGCGUGGAGGAUCAGCGCCAGCGGGGUCCCGGUGCCACCACCGCCCACCGGGGCGGCGCGACGUGCGGAGAUCGCGCGUAUCCACGCCUCUCUACCGCGGGCGGCGAGGGAAGAUUCGCAGUAUGUCCCCGACAGCCCGCUCUGGGAGCCAUACUUUCGCCGCCGCCACGCCGAGCAGCUAGAGGCCACCAACGACGUCGUGCCCUCCGGAAGGCUCAACUCCGAAGGCCGGCGCUGAUGGGAGGGCGUGCCCGGCCGCACGCUGGAGGCCGUCCUCGAGUACAUCGAGGGCCGCAACACGCCGAGGCUGGAGUACCCCGCUCCCCCGUCCAUCUCUCGCCGGCGUGGGAGCUCGUGGACACCGAGGCGCAUGGAUCUGGGGGCGUCCUCCUCCUCGUCCGGCCGCUCGUCCGACUCUCCCUGCCUCCGCCCCGUCAAGCCGGAGCCCCAGGACACGCCUGUCAGCGCACGCACCCGCAGCUCCGGCGUCUGCAUCGACGACUCCGCCCCCGCCUCUGGCCGCCUCGUCCUCGACAGGACGAAGCCGGAGCUCGGCCUCCCCACGGAGUACGAGGAGAUAGCCCGGCGCGGCUUCUCCGACGAGGACGCUCUACGAUGGGCGCGGGACGACUACCUCCGCGACGAGAUGGUCCGGCAGCGUCGGGCCCUGGAGGAGAUAACCGCCCGCAAACGUGGGCGCGAGGACGAGUGCGGCGUCGUGAUCUUCGACAGUGACGACGACGAGGAUUCCCCUGGACCGUCCAACCCGCCGCGCCAACCGGGGGAGGGUUGUAGCAGGGACGGCGACUGCGGAGGAGGCGGCGGCGACGACGACGACGACGGCGGCGGCGGGCGGCGAGGAGCGGCGAGGGAGACGACGAGAAGCAGCCUAGUAGCGUUUUUUUUUCUUUUUUGUAAAAUAUUUUAAAUAUGUACGAACUCGCCGAAGUUUGGUUGAAUUUGCGCCGUGUUUGUGCCGAAAUUAUUUUUUUUUAAAACGUGGGCGCCGCGACUGGUGAACAUCACGCCUCCAGCAUGCGGUUUGCGCCGGUGCGCCCCCAGGGGGCGAUUUUUAGCGCCUCCUAGGGGGCCAACGGCUGAAGAUGCUCUCACGAGUUAGGCAUUCCUCUCUUCUAGUACUCCCUCCGUCCGAAAAUACUUGUCAUAGAAAUGAAUACAAAUGGAUAUAUCUAAAACUAAAAUAUAUCUAGAUACAUCCAUUCCUUGAACAAGUAUUUUUGAAUUGAGAGAGUACUACGUAUUGAGUGUGUGUUGGUCUCUGCGUGUUUUAUUCACAAACACUGUUGGAAAUUGGGGUGUGAAUUUUGGUGGACUGGAGAUAUGAUAACACUCCUCGUAUCCUUAGACGAGAAAUUGGGAUUUUAAUUUUGGUGGACUAGAAAUGUACUAAAAUUGAAACCCGUAUAGGGGAGUCGCCCUCUCAUUCCAUACCACAUAACAUAUUAGUAGGUUCAAGAUUGCAGGGGAUUUAUUCGACCAUGUAGCGAGGGAAUUUGGCACCAGCCACCAUGGGAAGACGCAUAUUUAGGGGGAGGAGGGGACCUUAUAUGUUCUUUCAGAUGGCGCGACAACCAUUUGGUGCUCUGUUCGAGGCGUUUGUUAAAGGACACUCACGCUCGUCCAUAGCAAAGCGAUAAGCCGACUGCAUAGUGAAGAUGCAAGUCUUCUUUUAUUAUGAUGCAUGUUUAGUAUACUGUCAUAUGAAAAGAUUGUAAUCUUGGUGAAAAUCAUAAAAAUGACUUGGACUUCGGAUGAGGAUUUGUGGCUCUCGGCUGCCACACACCCCUAUAUAAACAAUAGGACUAGAAAAUAUAUUAGGAAAAUUAAAAAAAUUAUAGAAUAUUAGGAUAUGAAACUUGAGUGCCUGUUGUACACGCGUGUUCAGUUUCAUGGGUAAUCGGUGCUUGUGGUAAUGGCAAUAAAAAAGAUAAAAAAUGUAUAUGUGUAGAAAAAAAACUUAAUGCAAGGUAUGUUGGACCAUACUUUCUACGCUGCGGAUACCAUGGGCACCCAUUCCCCACGAAAAUAUACACGGGUGUACAACGGACACUCGGGUUUCAUAUUCCAGAAUUUCAGAAUUUGUCAAAAGAAUGAUAUUUUUUAAUGCUAUUCAUAUAGGGGCGUGUGACACCCGAGUGCUGCAUGCAUUAUCCCUUGGACUCCUUGCUUAGUAAAUAAUUUCCUGGUGGUAGAACCCUUGUUGGAUCUUUGCAACCACACACUAUGUAAGGCUGGUCAUAGUGGGGAGUAACUUAUACUAGUGUCAUGCAUAUAACACUAGUCUAAGUUACUAUCUUCAUAAUAUGUCAUAUGUGGCUUUAUUUAAUGGCUUGUAGACUCAUCUUGUCUUGGGAAGCGCUAUGUUACAGUAACAUAUUAUGUUACCACUUCUCAUUAACUACGUGCCAAAUAAGCAAAAAAAUUUUAAAGUGCGCUAUGUUACUACCGAAGUUACUCCCACCAUGACUAGCCUAAAUAAUGAAUUAGUAAUGCAUCAAGAGCUAUUGAAUGAGUGUUCUUGUAAACAUUACUACUAGUAUGUCGAUUGCUACACCUUUUUCUCUCUUUGGUCCAUGCACAAACAAUUUCUUUGUGUUAAUACCACUUUUGUUGUUUUAAUACAUAUUUCCUCUGUCCGGUGAAAAGUGUACAUCUAACUUCAAAAUUUGUUCACAAAAGAGUGUAUUUCUAUCUUCCCAAUGCAUUUUAAAGUAGGAAAACAUAUUUCUCUCUCAUCACAUGAUAAUCAAGGCCAAUAGCAAUCUACACAUGGUCUUCUUAAUUUCUACAUGCACUUAGCUCAUUGAGGGUUGGGUAAUUAAAAAGGAGAGAGAUGGUGGCUUACACUUUUCCAAUGCAUUUUUUACUUAACUCCAUAAUCUGUCCUAAAAUUUCUAGAUGUACACUCUUCAUCGGACGGAGGAAGUAUGUCAUCAAUGUUGACCCUACAUGGAGGCAUAUACUUGACAAUUUCUAUUGGGAGGGUAAUGGAAGGCCAAGGUCUACACGGAAGGGUGCUUUUUAAUUAAGUUUCCGUCUCUCAAAAACUAAAUGAAAUGAGCCAUUAUAAUUAUAAUCACUAUAUUCAGGCAAACUACAACCUCUAUUGCCAAGUAGAAAUUGUAGGCUCAUCAACACCUCGCUCACAUUAAUAGCGGUGUCGGAGGAUGUGUGGAGGUGUGUCUCCGUCGGAUCUCAUGGGAUUCGAUCGGUGCUGGUCUUUGGUGGAUCUAUUUGGAUCCAGAUUUUGUUUGUCUUCAUUUGUGGGGUUCCAGGUUUGUUCUUUCCGAUCUACAACUCUCUUCAUCGGCGAUGGUUGCUGCUCUGGUGUGGUCGUUUGGGACCUUAGCACAAUGACUUCCCGACUGUCUACUACAGUAAGAUUUGCUCGGCUCCGGUGAUGGAGGGGCGAUGAUGGCGGCGUGCCUUCGGCUCGCUCCAGUGCUUGUAGUCGUCGUUAGGUGGUCCAUAAACCUGGUUGUAAUUUUUAUUACUUCUUGUGUUCUCUGUACUGCCAUGAUUGAUGAAUAGAUUGGAAAUUUCCCUCGCAAAAAAUACCCUCCCUCGCAUUAGUCAAUGCGGAGGAUAAGUACAUCAUUAACCCCAAUAUUGAUGCAACCAAUAUGACUUCUCUUAGCAUUUUUCGCCAUGAGUUCUCGACGCCAAAAAGACCGGUCAACUUGAAUUCGAGAGCAAUGGAGCCUUGGCGAAAUAGUGAUUCCCUUGGCCAAUGCAUGAACAAAUUGCCGGCUUGCUUUGUGCCUCUUCUUCACCCUGGCAAAUAAUGUUCUCUUUCAUCCAACGUUUGGUGGUUGACACAGAAUAGUCGGUGCAGGUGGGCGAACACACCUUAACUGCUCUCCACUGUGUGUGGAUCUUCUGGGAGAAGUCGACACACGCACGUCCAUCUCUUGCACUCUCGUGCCCCUUCCUAGGUCGCAGCCAGCAAUCUCCCCACCACUCCGGUUCUCCUUUCCACGUUGCAAUGGCUGAUCUCAUCUCCCAAUCUCGUCGUCCUCCUCGUGCCGCCGCAACGAUCUGCUGCCCCACUCUUGUUGGGACCGUCCCUCUUGUUGUACUUGGUACGGUGCCGAGCUCUCCGCGGUCUGCACCAACGCACCAAUGUCGGGGAAACCGGAAACCACCACCACGGCACCACCUCACUGGCGCCGCCGCUCCUCCGCUGGUUGUAGCGCAGCAACAGUGCAACGGCACGGGUGGCUUAUACUGGUGCUGGGUGCGCCGGCGUUGUCCCCUGCGCUACGCGUGCGCCGACCUGGACGAAAGGCAACGGAUCCGGGAACCGCAUCUUACACCUACACCGACCGACCGACGCGGCCUUAUCUACUGAGCGGCGACGACUCAGCGACAGCACGCCCUCCUUCGACCAAGUGCUAGGACGAAAUCUCUCUGUCUUCUGCUUCUAGGUGUUUUUUUUUUUUUUUUGAAAACACUUCUAGGUGUUUUGGUUUGCUUGCUGGAGAGGCCGAGACAAAGGCAGCUUGAGUUCCUGCGUGUGUCGUGAGCACACGAGGAUCCACCUCCUAUUUCCGAUCCUAUGUCACGAUCACUGAGAUGUCAGGAAUCGUCGAGGGCACCAACAAAUUAAGGAAACACCAAUAUCAAAUUUGUUAACCAGAUCGACUAGCUAGAUAUCAAGAUGGAAAUGGAACGAAGGAAUCGGGGCACUACUGUCUUGAUGUAAUAUUGUAUACGUUCGUUUAUUUACUGGAAGUUUAGUUUUUUCUCUCCUCUGAGGAUAUAUACUUUCGCUUUUCCUCUUUCAUUGUUGAUCACAUAUAUUUUCAGACUAUGUUCACACAUGGAUUGAUGAGACAUGGUGGCUGUGACAAACAUGGGAGCUGAAUACACUUAGGCCAUGUCAAGCGCACGCGCCAGCUUUAGCUUCCGGGUUGAUUUGUCACUUUUCCUGGCUGUGCCUAGGAUUUUUGUAUGCAUCGGUGCCUAAUCAGUAGUCGGGUGCCUGAACUAUAUUCUACAGUGAGCAAUGUUUAUUUUCCAGCAUGCAAAUACCUGCAACUUUGGAGGCAGGGACGCCCAGGCAUGUAAGCGCCUGCAACCUGGUAUCCCGACGCGGUUGCGCUCUAUCGUGGGUGUGGACAUCCGUUUCGUCGCCUCCGACUGCCGUGAGUUCCUUAAUUUCCUCCUCCACGUUUGAGAUGAGUCUCUUACUUUACUCCACUGUAUUUCUUCAUCUAAUAUAAGGAGCUGAGGCAUGGGAAGUCGCCCAGUUUGUGAGCGGAAAUGUGUGUAGCAGAAGGAGCAGCUGGGACAUGGGGUUACUCUUGCGUAACCUGCCAACUGUUAUUUCUAAACUAUAAAAGUAAGAGAAUCAUCUGCAUUGCCCUUCAUUUUCAUUUUUUUAACAGGUGUGUAUGGUAUUGCUGAAUCCAUGAAUAUAUAGCAUCCAAUAUACUUGAGUUGAAUAUAGUCCAACGAUGUUACAUAUUUUCCCGACAUGUUUUUAAAGGGUAAUUAGCAGUUGUCAAUUCUACAGAUACAACAGAAUAGUAGUAGGUGUUGGAAAGAUCAUACGGUGGCCGUAACUGACGGAGGGAAGUCCUUCGCAUUUGGUGACAGCAGCCACGGCCAAUUGGGGACGGGUUCACUAAGUAGCGGUCGACUCCCUUGCCUUUUCCUUUAUAUUUAUGGUUGAUAGAUGACACUACUAGAAGUGUAGCAAAUACAAAUUAUACUAGUAGAACGCCCGUGCGUUGCUACGGGCUACAAUGCAUGUAAAAAAUCAAAUAAAUUAUUAACGUCGUCUUCAAGGUGAACUAAAAAAUAAUUCAAGGUCAAAGCUCAUUUCUCCCUCAUACGUCCGGGUAUGUUCGGAAAUAAAAUGAGCACCCAACGAGCUCCGUAAAAUUCUACCGUCUGUAAAUCCGGGCUACCAAAAUCUAGCCUGUAUGUGAGGUAUGGGUAAGGAAAAAUGUGGUUGUCUGAAGUAUCCACGAUGUUAUCUCCAACAUGCGGUCCCAACAAAAAAAAAC